GCUGAGUGGGGAGAAGAGAGGGACAGAGAGCCUGCUUCUUUAAAGGAGCAAAGCGGGAGAGGAGAGGAGCCGCUUACACAAGUGUAAGCGGCUCCUGUCCGGUUGGUUCCUUUAAAGCAAGCAGGCUCUCUGUCCCUCUCUCCUCCCCACUCAGC
rnacentral:miRNA from 1 species